rnacentral:tmRNA from 1 species
GGGGAUGACGGGAUUCGACAAAGGGAAUUGGAGCUUUGAAUUGCGAGCCGGGCGCCAUCCCGUAAUCUGGCAAGACAAUAACUGCCAAAUCACGACUUACUCCAGCGCUCGCGUACGCGUAAGCUGGAAUAUCCUGUCCACAGCAUAAGAUGGGCGGGCAUCGGCGAGCCGUCGCCUUUGCGGCUCUUCCCGGUGUUAUACGAGAAGGCUGUGUUCUGUGAGGAAGCGCUCCAGUCCUUGCAGAACGAGAAUCUUGGAGCAUCUUUUCCUGUCCGGUUUUCGGACUACGCUCGUAGAUGAUUCAAGGCUUCCCCUUUGGACGGCGGUUCAACUCCGCCCAUCUCCACUA